rnacentral:rRNA from 1 species
UGGGCGUAAAGCGCGUGUAGGCGGUUUGUUAAGUCUGAUGUGAAAGCCCUGGGCUCAACCCGGGAAGUCCAUUGGAAACUGGCAGACUUGAAUACGGGAGAGGGUAGUGGAAUUCCUAGUGUAGGAGUGAAAUCCGUAGAUAUUAGGAGGAACACCGGUGGCGAAGGCGGCUACCUGGCCCGAUAUUGACGCUGAGACGCGAAAGCGUGGGGAGCAACACAGGAUUGA